rnacentral:rRNA from 1 species
AAUUGGAGGGCAAGUCUGGUGCCAGCAGCCGCGGUAAUUCCAGCUCCAAUAGCGUAUAUUAAAGUUGUUGCAGUUAAAAAGCUCGUAGUUGAAUUUCGGGAUUGACGUGAUGGUCGUGCCUUAAGGGGUAUGAACUGUCGCAGUUGAUUUCUCACCUUCUGGAGAAGCAUGAUGUCCUUAAUUGGGUGUCAUGUGGAACCAGGACCUUUACCUUGAAAAAAUUAGAGUGUUUAAAGCAGGCAUUUUGCUCGAAUACAUUAGCAUGGAAUAAUAGAAUAGGACGGCAUGGUUCUAUUUUGUUGGUUUCUAGGAUCACCGUAAUGAUUAAUAGGGAUAGUUGGGGGCAUUAGUAUUCAAUUGUCAGAGGUGAAAUUCUUGGAUUUAUUGAAGACUAACUACUGCGAAAGCAUUUGCCAAGGAUGUUUUUAUUAAUCAAGAACGAAAGUUAGGGGAUCGAAGACGAUCAGAUACCGUCGUAGUCUUAACCAUAAACUAUGCCGACUAGGAAUCAGACGAUGUUAAUUUUUUAAUGACUCGUUUGGCACCUUACGGGAAACCAAAGUGU